CAGGACAGAACAGUGGGCUCCCAGAUUUCCAAGUCCCAACUGGAAGUCCAUCCAGGGACCACUGAAGAAGAACUCACCCAAACCAGCGCAUGAGAGACUUCAGGAAGGAGCCCAGCUCAGAACCAGCACAG
rnacentral:sRNA from 1 species